rnacentral:rRNA from 1 species
UACGUAGGUGGCAAGCGUUAUCCGGAAUUACUGGGCGUAAAGCGCACGCAGGCGGCUUUUCAAGUUCGACGUGAAAGCUCCCGGCUUAACUGGGAGAGGUCGUUGAAGACUGAGAGGCUUGAGGCAAUGAGAGGGGUGUAGAAUUCCCGGUGUAGUGGUGGAAUGCGUAGAUAUCGGGGGGAAUACCAGUGGCGAAAGCGGCACCCUAGCGUUGUACUGACGCUCAUGUGCGAAAGCGUGGGGAGCGAACGGG